rnacentral:lncRNA from 1 species
GAGCCGGAGCAGCAGCCGGCUGCGGCACCCCACCCUUCUUCUCCACCGCCGCAUUCCUGAACAGCACAUCCAGCGUCGCCGCGGACAGCUUGAGCUUGCUCAGCGAGUUGACGGAGCUGUCCAGCGACUCGUCGUACUCACCACCGGCGACAGAGCCUGCCGUGGAGCGCUUCCGGCGGAGCAGCCUCGACAGCCUCCGCGCCAGGCCACCACCGGCCUUCUGCUGCGGCACGUCGGCCGCCAUUAACGUCUCCAUUGGUGGCACCAGCACCACCUAGCUGAGCUAGCUCUUGCUCUCACUGAGCUCAGCUU